AUGUGGCGUAAUGAGGAGGCACAUUGUGAAGGUUAUCUCAGACCGUUCAAUCCUGAUGCUCAUAUUGGGAAACAAGUUUUGGAAAAUGCGGAGGCGACAAUUAUGAAUAAGGUGGUCAUAGAGAAAGCUAGAAUGGUCCAACGGAUUUCGUGGUGUCCUCCUCAUAGGGGUUGGAUGAAGCUAAAUAUGGAUGAAGCUUGCAAGAAUGGUUUGAGCUCAGGAUGUCAGGGGUUAUUAGGGAUGAUAAAGGGUCAAUGUGCCUUGGUUUUGCAAAGUGUCUAG